ACGGAGGGUGCAGGCGUUAUCCGGAUUUAUUGGGUUUAAAGGGUGCGUAGGCGGAAGAUUAAGUCAGUGGUGAAAUCUCGUGGCUCAACCAUGAAAUUGCCAUUGAUACUGAUUUUCUUGAGUAUAGUUGAGGUAGGCGGAAUGUGUCAUGUAGCGGUGAAAUGCUUAGAUAUGACCCAGAACACCGAUUGCGUAGGCAGCUUGCUAAACUAUUACUGACGCUGAUGCACGAAAGCGUGGGUAGCGAACAGG
rnacentral:rRNA from 1 species